UUAAUCCAGAAGUAACAUUUAACAAGACUGUGCAGCUUUCAGUAGGCAUAAAGGAGAAAGAAUUUAUUGUUUUUGAAUGACUACUUUAUCUCCUGAUCAGCUCUCUGUGCAGGUGUGUGGCUUACUGGGUUGAAAAUAGCAAAGGAAGGAGGAUUCCUUAAUAUUCACCUUUUUCUCAGCGCUUUCUCUGUCAGUGAAUGAACCCUCAAAGACAGGUUUUAAGAGAAGCAGCCGUACUGCAAUUCCUCAAGUGGAGUCAUCGGGAUGUGAAACCAUUCCUCAGCUCUUCCAAGAAUGCCACAAAGCCACCCCUGAGGUAUUUACAGGCAAUUACAUGUCCAACAGUAUGGAAUAAAAUUAGUCAAACUGACAUGGACCUCAAGUAGUGCCUUGGGUAAGGCUUUGUGAACCCGAUCCCCUGAUGUUUAGAAACCUAACAUGUAUUAUUUGACA